AUGUACAACUCAGAGAAGAAUAUAUGUUUUAAGUUGCUAACAGAGGAUUAGGAAGUCAUGAGUCAGAGUACCAGGAAAAGGAGAAGCAACUUAAAUCAUCUGUCUUAAUUUUAUUCAUGGGAGACUGAGGGCUAAGUUAAAAUUCUGCAUAGUGUUAGUGAGAGUAAAAAUCAUUAUUGUCUUUAAUAUUGUGGUAGUUUGUGAAAAGGAUUCAGUAACUCAGCUCUGCAUAAUCAGGAUCUAGUUGCAGUGACCCAGGGGGCCACUUCCAGUUCUGUGCCCCUAAUGAUAAUAUUUAAAGGCAAAGCCAUAAUGGAUGUGAAUGGAUUUUUUUCAGCUACACAGAAAAAAUAGCUGCACUUUGUAAACUAAAUACCCUUGCUUGCUCUGCUGAAACAUGUGUAGAAGUCAUCUACUGACUGUGAAAGUUCCUUAACCUGGUGGUGAGUCAUCCAUCACUGAAUGCUGGAUCCAAUUAGUGAAGUCGGGAUUGUUUUCCCAAUGUCCUCUAAGUAGUUAAAAGAACCUUGAACAAAAACUGAGUACUUUAAGCACUUUGGAGAUCGCAGUGGGGGGCCAAAAGGAGGAAUGGCAAUUGAUACAAUGAAACCAUUGAAAAAGACAUGAUAUUCUGGAUUUUGGAAUGUACUUGUCUCAAGUACAAAGAUGAAGCAAACAGUCCAGCAUACAAAUAGUUAAUUUUCCUGCAGAGACCUCCAUUGGUUAUUGAAGACAGAUCAAAAUUAGAAAUUUUCACUUCACAGGAAAUGAACCAUUUCUGCAUGGCAUUUUAUAGAC